UUGCACAAUGGGCGCAACCUGAUGCAGCAACGCCGCGUGAGGGACGACGGCCUUCGGGUUGUAAACCUCUUUUAGCAGGGAAGAAGCGAAAGUGACGGUACCUGCAGAAAAAGCACCGGCUAACUACGUGCCAGCAGCCGCGGUAAUACGUAGGGUGCAAGCGUUAUCCGGAAUUAUUGGGCGUAAAGAGCUCGUAGGCGGUUUGUCGCGUCUGCUGUGAAAACCCGAGGCUCAACCUCGGGCCUGCAGUGGGUACGGGCAGACUAGAGUGCGGUAGGGGAGAUUGGAAUUCCUGGCGUACGGUGGAAUGCGCAGAUAUCAGGAGGAACACCGAUGGCGAAGGCAGAUCUCUGGGCCGUAACUGACGCUGAGGAGCGAAAGCAUGGGGAGCGAACAGGAUUAGAUACCCUGGUAGUCCAUGCCGUAAACGUUGGGAACUAGAUGUGGGGACCAUUCCACGGUCUCCGUGUCGCAGCUAACGCAUUAAGUUCCCCGCCUGGGGAGUACGGCCGCAAGGCUAAAACUCAAAGGAAUUGACGGGGGCCCGCACAAGCGGCGGAGCAUGCGGAUUAAUUCGAUGCAACGCGAAGAACCUUACCAAGGCUUGACAUAUACGAGAACGCUGCAGAAAUGUAGAACUCUUUGGACACUCGUAUACAGGUGGUGCAUGGUUGUCGUCAGCUCGUGUCGUGAGAUGUUGGGUUAAGUCCCGCAACGAGCGCAACCCUCGUCGUAUGUUGCCAGCACGUAAUGGUGGGAACUCAUAUGAGACUGCCGGGGUCAACUCGGAGGAAGGUGGGGAUGAGGUCAAAUCAUCAUGCCCCUUAUGUCUUGGGCUUCACGCAUGCUACAAUGGCCGGUACAAAGGGCUGCAAUACCGUAAGGUGGAGCGAAUCCCAAAAAGCCGGUCUCAGUUCGGAUUGAGGUCUGCAACUCGACCCCAUGAAGUCGGAGUCGCU
rnacentral:rRNA from 1 species